GUCGCCUUGGAGUCUUUAAGAAUGGAAAGAGAUAUUAUGCUGCAAAUGAGGAAGUUGGGGGCUGCUGAGUUAUUCAACACCUGUCUAUCUAGGUCCCGAGCUUCGUCAACCGCUUCUUGCUUACCUGACACAGGAACACCUGAGUUGGUGGAUACUACAGAAGAACAGAAAACCUUUGUGCAUUCAACAAGGAAACUGAGAAAGAAAGCAAGACGGUCGAGUUUGAUGACUGGGAGUGAUGAUCUGGGUUCAAGAACCAUAUGGGAGGGUGUUGAUGUCCCUAGAGUGAGAAAACCAUCAAAAUAUAGAAAGAAAAGAGAGAGGAUAUCUAGAAACGAGGCUGAGAUGCCACAAGGAGUCAAGGUUCAGUGUGAAAUAUUCCUCUUAACUGUUUUUUUUUAUAAUCCUUUGUAGUUUAACAAGAAGUUCUUAUGACACUCUCAUGUGGCUAUUGAAGUUAGUGGCGGACAUGGAGAGGAUUAGAACGAAACUGGAAGAGGAAAGUGGUAAGGUAGCGAGUAUGAUUUGUUGGGCUGAAGCAGCAGGGAUGAACGAGAAACUUCUCAUGCGCAAUCUACAUUUCGGUUGGUACUGUCGAGAUGAACUGGUGAAAAGCACCCGGUCUUUGGUUCUUUUCCUCGCAAGAAACUAUCGUGGUCUCGGGAUCGCCCACGAAGAUUUGAUUCAGGUUCAUCUUCUCUCCUUUAGAACUGUAUGAGAGUCAAACCUUUGCACAUGAAACUUUGUGUUUACAGUUCCUUUGUUUCUAAUGUUCUUGAAUGUGGGUUUCAGGCAGGGUAUGUGGGAGUGUUGCAAGGAGCAGAGAGGUUUGAUCACACAAGGGGUUACAAGUUUUCGACGUAUGUGCAGUAUUGGAUAAGAAAAUCGAUGUCCACGAUGGUGUCACGGCAUGCAAGAGGCGUCCACAUUCCUGUUUGUGCAUUCUUGAUUAUUAAUUUUAUUUUUCAUUUCUAGAAAAGCCAAAGAACCUCACUUGUAUUCAUUCUGUGAUCGAUGUUGUUUAUUUUGGCAGGCGUCAAUAAUCCGAACAAUGAGUCAGAUACAAAAGGCUCGCAAGACCUUGAAAACGAGCCAGGGGAUAAAGUAUCCAGCUGAUGAGGAGAUUUCGAAACUAACAGGGUACUCGUUAAAGAAGAUUAGAGCAGCUAACCAAUGCCUGAAAGUGGUUGGUUCAAUCGACAAGAAAGUUGGGGAUUGCUUUACCACAAAGUUCCUGGUAUGUCCUUUUGAACCAACAUCCUCUCUCAUAAACUGUUAUAAAAAAUAUUUGGUUUUGUGUAGAUUUAAGCUAUUUUUGCAUGGUUUUGGUUUUGUGAGUCAAUGUUUGUUUGCUGUGUGUGUGUAUGCAGGAGUUUACACCAGACACGACGAUGGAGAGUCCAGAGGAGGCUGUGAUGAGGCAGAGCGCAAGGAGAGAGGUACAUAAUCUAAUAGAAGGGCUAGAGGCUAGAGAGAAGCAAGUGAUGGUUCUACGUUAUGGUCUUGAAGACUAUAGGCCCAAGUCCUUGGAAGAGAUUGGGAAGCUGCUUAGGGUUAGCAAAGAAGGGAUCCGGAAGAUAGAACGGAGAGCGAUGGCUAAAAUCAGAGACCAACCCAAAGCUGAUAACCUCAGAUAUUAUUUGAACCAGUGAGAAGGAUUAGAUUUUUGGAACCAAUGGCUUUGUGAUUUGUAAUAACAUUCUCAUCGAGUGUAAAGCUGUGUAUAUUUUAUAAUCAUAAAAGGUAGAGAUUUUACCCAAAGUGAAAAUAUAUCAAACAUUUACAAAUCUUGGAUUUUAUCCUGUAAAAGACAUUGAUUCCAAACUGAAUGUUACAUCUGAAUUGAAGGCAUAAAGCACUUGCACAAGCUUCAUGUCCUCCUCAUGGUCUAGAAAUGUGUAAAUGUGUAUAUCAGAAUACUAGUGAAACUAGGUUAAGAUCCGCGCCUUGCGCGGGAUAAACAUUAUAUAUAUAAAUUAUUUUAUAUAUUAUAUGUUUCUAACCUAUUAUGAAACAAUAAAUAUAUAUUGAAUAAUUAAAAAGUCAGUAACUAUUACCUAUAUAAUUAAGUUGGUGCGAACAUAUAAAUAAAUUUUAUUAAUCCCGUCUAUGUAGAGCUCAAAGAUCCAAAGGUCUGUUGUACUUCCCUGCAAAAACAUUUUUUUUUCCUUUCUUGUGAUUCUCAGUACUCGUUGCCAUGUCUUCAGGAAAAUAUUGGCGUGGGUUUAGUUGGAGAACGAAUGUCUUCUUCUUCUUCAGAGAAAGCCAAUUUAUCUCGUAGCAUGUUGCAGUACAAUCUACUAGGGAAGAACCUUUUAGCACUAGAGCAAACUUUUGUCGCCUUGGAGUCUUUAAGAAUGGAAAGAGAUAUUAUGCUGCAAAUGAGGAAGUUGGGGGCUGCUGAGUUAUUCAACACCUGUCUAUCUAGGUCCCGAGCUUCGUCAACCGCUUCUUGCUUACCUGACACAGGAACACCUGAGUUGGUGGAUACUACAGAAGAACAGAAAACCUUUGUGCAUUCAACAAGGAAACUGAGAAAGAAAGCAAGACGGUCGAGUUUGAUGACUGGGAGUGAUGAUCUGGGUUCAAGAACCAUAUGGGAGGGUGUUGAUGUCCCUAGAGUGAGAAAACCAUCAAAAUAUAGAA
rnacentral:lncRNA from 1 species